rnacentral:lncRNA from 1 species
UUUUAUUCAUUAAGGGAAUAAACGAUAUUAACCACUCUAACUUUUAACGUGAGAGCUCGGAUUCGAAAAAUCACUUCGCAAAUAAUAUAGAUAUGUAAGUAAUACAAGUAGAAAAUAUUUUUUAACACAAUAUAAUUUAAUAAAAAUAUAAUUUUAUUGCUUCAUAAUUAUAUUAAAUAUAAAAAUAUAUAUAUUAAAUACUAUUUCAGUUUAUUUUUUUUUAAUCUGUAUUAUGAAUUUCCGUAAUGAACUGUUAUAAAUAUUUGCAUUUAUUUAAAAUAAUUCUGAUAUAUAAAACUGUUAUUGUUAAAUUUAUUUAAUGUAAAUUGAUUGAUUUCAAGAUCUUAUAUAUUUUAGAAUUUAAUCUGUUAAUUGAUUUAUUUUAUAUUAAUAAAAAUAUUUUACAAUUUAAACCUUCAAAUAGUUAAUUUUUAACCUAGGAGAAUAGGGAGAUGGUGUUUUACAGAUAGGUCUUGGAAAGAUAAAGAAAUUUUUUUCUGGUCAUGGUUGGUAUACUACACUUGAAUGUUUUGAUGGAUUGAUGGAGGCCGGAAACAUAAGAAAUAGUAUAUCUGCACUUCACACGAAAUUUGAAGCCUUUAUAUAUAUGGCCAAUGGAAUGUAUGCGAAAUCUACGAUAAUUUCACCUAACGUUUGCGGCAGAUUGUUUGCAACGGGUGAAAAGGGUUUUGGAACUAGAAGAAUGACCGCUGUUGCAUCCUAUCUCGAAGAAAUACAACAGAUGAAGGUAAGUUUCAUAACAUUCAUGAUCGCGCAUGUACCCGGACUCAAAACAAAAAGGCGGAUAGUCUUGCACGUGGUGUUUGUAUCCAACCGUCUCAAAUUGUCUACAUUGACACGGAGUCCCAUGUUUGGUUAUAAGAGUCUUAAUCGAAUCUGUUUAUUCUGAUGACAAAAAGAUACAAUUUUAACUAUUAUAUUGUUUAGAAACAUGAAUAGUAGUAUUUAAAACAUGAACAUAUGAUCGUAAGGUACUUUGGAUAAAAUCACUUGUUCAACAUGUUGUCUUUGUAACAAUGGUGCAGAGUCGACAAAUCAUAUGUUCUUCCAGUGCGAUUCUCUAGAAAGAUUUGGAGUAAUCUCACGAAAGGCAUGCUCGGACACCACCACACCUCUGAGUAGUUGAAUACUGUCUAGGAACUUGCAAAAAAUGACUUGGACUGCCAACGG